rnacentral:ncRNA from 1 species
AAAGAGACAAUGAAGGGAAGAGUACCCUUAUACCGGUCACCAGAGAGGGAGUGCCUUGGCUGGGAGCACUCCUGACCAGAGAUAAGGGGAAGACCAGCCUGGAGUCUUCUCUGAAGCCUUCGCAUGGUGAAGGAGAACGGAGGCACUCCGUUAAAGGUGCUUAGAGUGGGUGGAUCUAGUUAUCCACCAAUCGGGGUGGAACCGCGGGAAAACUCGCCCCCGCA